AACGAACGCUGGCGGCAGGCCUAACACAUGCAAGUCGAGCGCCCCGCCAGGGGAGCGGCGGACGGGUGAGUAACGCGUGGGAACGUACCCUUUGCUACGGAAUAGCCUCGGGAAACUGGGAGUAAUACCGUAUGUGUCCUCCGGGAGAAAGAUUUAUCGGCAAGGGAUCGGCCCGCGUUGGAUUAGGUAGUUGGUGGGGUAAUGGCCUACCAAGCCGACGAUCCAUAGCUGGUUUGAGAGGAUGAUCAGCCACACUGGGACUGAGACACGGCCCAGACUCCUACGGGAGGCAGCAGUGGGGAAUCUUAGACAAUGGGCGCAAGCCUGAUCUAGCCAUGCCGCGUGAGCGAUGAAGGCCUUAGGGUUGUAAAGCUCUUUCAGGGGGGAAGAUAAUGACUGUACCCCCAGAAGAAGCCCCGGCUAACUCCGUG
rnacentral:rRNA from 1 species